CUCAAGGGACGGGUGUACCAACUUGUUAAUUGGAAUAUUAUUGAUGCAUAUAUAUUGGAGUAUGGAAUAUAAAACUCAAAUUAUAAAUUCGACUCUCGGUUUGAAUGUGUAUUAGUCUAGUGAUAAACCAAAUUUGGAAAGGAAAUCUAUUUUCUUUGGUAUUUUUUUUCCGCCACUAAAGAAGAGUGCAAAUCGACAUUUUACAGUGCCAAUAACAGCGUUUGGACUCAAGGGCACACGUAACUUGUAAAACAGUUUGCUCACUUUCUGCUCGAAAUGGCGGAGGCAAGCGAAGGCAGGGGUUCUCAGUCCAACACAUCCGCCAUGUCAAGAACAGAAACCAUGUCAUUUCCACCAAUUUCUGAGAUACCCUGGGCUAACCCCUUGGUUCGGUCUUCGACGGUGGAUGGAGUAACGAUGCAGGCCAAGGACUAAAGGCGUUGUUAUUACAUAAAAUUACUGGCUGCUGGAAUUUAAGUUUUAUAAUAUAAUACAUGUAUUUUUUUAGAGUUAUAAUGCAUGUAUCUAGCUUUAAAUUUGUGGCUUA